rnacentral:tRNA from 1 species
GCCGCGGUAGCCUAGUUGGUAGGGCGGCGGACUCGUAAUCCGCAGGUCCCGGGUUCAAGUCCCGGCCGCGGCU